UACGUAGGGAGCAAGCGUUGUCCGGAAUCAUUGGGCGUAAAGCGCGCGUAGGUGGUUUCGUAAGUCCGUUGUGAAAGUCAAAGGCUCAACCUUUGAAUGCCGAUGGAUACUGCGGAGCUAGAGUACGGAAGAGGCGAGUGGAAUUCCUGGUGUAGCGGUGGAAUGCGCAGAUAUCAGGAGGAACACCAAUAGCGAAGGCAGCUCGCUGGGACGUUACUGACACUAAGGCGCGAAAGCGUGGGGAGCGAACAGG
rnacentral:rRNA from 1 species